GACUGCAGAGAACUUGGAGAAAGAUCAGCCCUCCAGAGGCCAGUAGAGAGCUCUUCAGUCUGGAAACAGACCUCUGAAGAUGGCAAGCCUCUCAGAAUGCAGCCUAGGCCUGACCUGCCUGCUCCCAGCCGAGGGCAAGAAAGCUGCAGGGCAGCUCACUCUGGUUACCUCCGCCUGCCUCAGGCACACAGAGGCUUUACUGCUUUCCCCACGGUAGCUAAAAAAAUUCCUUGGGUGUGACAGCGAGAGGCCAGUGGCCCUUGCUGAGCAAGUCCAAGGCCGAAUGGUGCAAAUAGUAUAGGAGACACAAAGCGCCCUAUGGAACAUGUAUAGGCACUUGGGUGUGCAGACAUCUACACACCACACACACAUACUCAUACAAUAUUUACUCUGACCUAUUUUCACACAGCUCUGCACGGCCCAUAGAGAAAAGUCAUUUGUGGUUAUUUGUAAAUGAUUUCAAACUUACAAAAAGUUGCAAAAAUGAAAACAGUCUAAAGAACAGCUCUAUAUCCUUUAACCAGAUUAUUAACAUUUUACUCCAUUUGCUGUAUCAUUUGCUUUUCCCCAACAUACAUAACACACUUUUUUUCUGAACCAUUUGAGUAUGAGUUACCUAUAUUAUCACCCUUUACCACUAAUAUUUCAUUGUGUAUUUUCUAAGAAUAGGUAUUUUUCUCUUAUGUAACCACAGUAUAGAUAUAAACUUCUUGAAUUUACAUGGAUAUAACAUUUUUAUCUAACCUACUGUUCAUAUUCCAGUUUUCCAUUGAUCCAAUAAUGUUCUUUGUGACAUAUUCCUCCAAUAUAGGACCCAGGCUAGGGUCAGGUAUUGUAUUUGGUUGCUGUGUUUCUUUAGCCUCCUUUUGUCUGGAAUAGUUCCAAAGCUUUGUCUUUUAUGGCAUUGACAUUUUUGAAGAAUUCAGUCUUCCAUAUUAUACAAAAAAAUUAUUUUAUAGAGAUAUAACCUUUUGAGGAACAGACUUUUCCAAAGUGGCUACACUAUUUUACAUCCCUACCAGCAGUGUACGAGAAUUCCAAUGUCUCCACAUCCUCAACAACACUUGUUAUUAUCUGACCCUUUAAUUGUAGCUAUCUUGGUGUGAGAUGGUGUCUUAUUGUGGUUUUGAUUUGCAUUCCCCUAAUGGCUGAUGAUGGCAAACAUCUUUUCAUGUGCUUAUUGGCCAUUUAUUUAUCUUCUUUAGAAAAAUAUCUGUUCAGAUCCUUUGCUCAUUUUUGUUAUUUGCCUUUUUAUGAUUGAGCUGUAAGAGUUCUUUAUAUAUUCUAGCUACAAGACCUUUGUUAGAUAUAUGAUUUGUAAACAUUUUUCCCCAUUCUAUGAGUUGGCUUUUCACUUUCUUGAUGGUAUUUUUUAAAAUGCAAAAGUUUUAAAUCUCAUUGGUGUACAAGUUGUUUUUCAACUCCUCUCCCUUUUUAAAAAUAGAGUAUUCUUCAUUUUGUUUGUAUCUGAAAUUUCUUUGUAUUGACAUUGAGGCUUUGCAUUCUUGGCCUGAGUACUGUAUAGGUGAUGGUAUGUUCUUUCAGGGGAUGUGGAGCCAUGUGAUGUCCUUAUGCCUUUUACUGGAGAUGAUAAUUCUGAACAUCUGAUCAAGGUUGUCUAUACUCCAUCAGCACAUUUGAGUUCGGUGCUCUCCCAGGCACGUGCUGCAUGGUGGUCACACCCACGUUGGCCAGGCCUGUGUCCUCAUGUCUCAUCAGGGACUUUGUCCUGCUGAUCGUGAGGGCUCAUACAGAUUCCUCACUCUUUCCUUUUGGGCCCCGAGUUCACAUCCUGGCCUAGUGAGUCUCUUUGUAGGCUUAAUUUGCCUACAACCCUGAUUACUGCCUCUCUGGAGUUAGAAGUUGGACUUUGCCAUGUUGGUAACAUCAAAUUCGAGAUAGACAUUUCUGGAGAAUGUGUUAUCCUGGACUCAGCAAGAGGUACUGACGUCCUCACAUAUCAGGGGCUGAAGACUGGAAGUAAGGAAAGAUGAAGGAUAGACAGGCCUCUGUGCGGUGUGCUGUUCCUGACGUGAGAGCAGUCUGAGGAGAUUGGACAAGUCCAUUUCACUUUCCCUGCUCAGGAAGAUAAGGGUUUUCAGAGGUCUUGUGUGAGAACCGAAGUCAGGCAUUCUGGCCUUUCUUUCCUGCUUCAAGCUCUAAUUCUGUUCCUAGAACACAUCCCACUACAAAGCCUGUGACUAAAGGACUUUGUGUUUCAGUGAGAUGGGAGAAACCAGCACAGUGUGAACCCAUUUAAAAAUAGAUUUGGGAUUUAGGCUGACCCAUGGGGUGGUUGGAAGGCCCAGCACACCCUCCAGUAGGUGACCAAUGGUGGACACCUCCCGCCAUCGCAUCUCCUGAGGUGGGCACAUCUGCUGGCCAGAGAUUUGCUUGUGGACUCACCUGAGUCCUCUUUCCCAUGGUGCUGACAUGGCUGGAGCUCCAGGGCCCUGGCUCCCCUGACUUCUCACUGAGCUAAGUUAAGUGUCUCCUGGCUCUGGGAGGUGCUCUGAGCUCUGAUUGCUACACCCCAUCCUCUUUCCUAUUAUUGUUUCCUGCCUUGUCUUCUGAAUGUUCAAAUAAACCCAGCAGAUGUUAAAAAAAAAAAAAAA